CAACCCUCAAGCCUGGCUUGGUGUUGGGGCUCUGCGCCUGCAGGCCCUCAAAUCCAGUGGCGGACACGCUAGGUCUCCGAGCGCAGUAGUUUCUCCUCGCUCAGGGCGUCCGGCGUGGGCUUGCCUCGCACCCAUCUUACACAA
rnacentral:misc_RNA from 1 species